rnacentral:rRNA from 1 species
UUAGAGUUUGCUUCUGGCUCAGGAUGAACGCUAGCGGCAGGCUUAACACAUGCAAGUCGAGGGGCAUCAGGAGUGUAGCAAUACACUUGCUGGCGACCGGCGCACGGGUGCGUAACGCGUAUGCAACCUACCUUAUACAGGGAGAUAACCUUUCGAAAGAGAGACUAAAAUCCCAUAGUAUUGAUGAGGGGCAUCCCUUAUUAAUUAAAUCUUCGGAGGUAUAAGAUGGGCAUGCGUAGCAUUAGUUAGAUGGUGAGGUAACGGCUCACCAUGACAACGAUGCUUAGGGGUUCUGAGAGGAAGGUCCCCCACACUGGUACUGAGACACGGACCAGACUCCUACGGGAGGCAGCAGUGAGGAAUAUUGGUCAAUGGUCGGAAGACUGAACCAGCCAUGCCGCGUGCAGGAAGAAUGUCUUAUGGAUUGUAAACUGCUUUUGUAUGGGAGUAAUAAUAACUUUGCGAAGUUAGAUGCAAGUACCAUACGAAUAAGGAUCGGCUAACUCCGUGCCAGCAGCCGCGGUAAUACGGAGGAUUCGAGCGUUAUCCGGAUUUAUUGGGUUUAAAGGGUGCGUAGGCGGCGAUAUAAGUCAAUGGUGAAAGACUUGAGCUUAACUCAGGCGAGCCGUUGAUACUGUAGAGCCAGAACAUAGAUGGAGCAGGUGGAAUGAAUCAUGUAGCGGUGACAUGCAUAGAUAUGAUUCAGAACACCGAUCGCGAAGGCAGCUUGCUAAGCUAUAGUUGACGCUGAGGCACGAAAGCGUGGGGAUCGAACAGGAUUAGAUACCCUGGUAGUCCACGCUGUAAACGAU